GAUGAACGCUAGCUACAGGCUUAACACAUGCAAGUCGAGGGGCAGCAUGACCUAGCAAUAGGUUGAUGGCGACCGGCGCACGGGUGAGUAACACGUAUCCAACCUACCGGUUAUUCCGGGAUAGCCUUUCGAAAGAAAGAUUAAUACCGGAUAGUAUAACGAGAAGGCAUCUUUUUGUUAUUAAAGAAUUUCGAUAACCGAUGGGGAUGCGUUCCAUUAGUUUGUUGGCGGGGUAACGGCCCACCAAGACAUCGAUGGAUAGGGGUUCUGAGAGGAAGGUCCCCCACAUUGGAACUGAGACACGGUCCAAACUCCUACGGGAGGCAGCAGUGAGGAAUAUUGGUCAAUGGACGAGAGUCUGAACCAGCCAAGUAGCGUGAAGGAUGACUGCCCUAUGGGUUGUAAACUUCUUUUAUAUGGGAAUAAAGUGAGCCACGUGUGGCUUUUUGUAUGUACCAUACGAACAAGGAUCGGCUAACUCCGUGCCAGCAGCCGCGGUAAUACGGAGGAUCCGAGCGUUAUCCGGAUUUAUUGGGUUUAAAGGGAGCGUAGGCGGACUAUUAAGUCAGCUGUGAAAGUUUGCGGCUCAACCGUAAAAUUGCAGUUGAUACUGGUCGUCUUGAGUGCAGUAGAGGUAGGCGGAAUUCGUGGUGUAGCGGUGAAAUGCUUAGAUAUCACGAAGAACUCCGAUUGCGAAGGCAGCUUACUGGACUGUAACUGACGCUGAUGCUCGAAAGUGUGGGUAUCAAACAGGAUUAGAUACCCUGGUAGUCCACACAGUAAACGAUGAAUACUCGCUGUUUGCGAUAUACGGCAAGCGGCCAAGCGAAAGCAU
rnacentral:rRNA from 1 species